rnacentral:rRNA from 1 species
GAUGAACGCUGGCGGCGUGCCUAAUACAUGCAAGUCGAGCGAAUGGAUUAAGAGCUUGCUCUUAUGAAGUUAGCGGCGGACGGGUGAGUAACACGUGGGUAACCUGCCCAUAAGACUGGGAUAACUCCGGGAAACCGGGGCUAAUACCGGAUAAUAUUUUGAACUGCAUGGUUCAAAAUUGAAAGGCGGCUUCGGCUGUCACUUAUGGAUGGACCCGCGUCGCAUUAGCUAGUCGGUGAGGUAACGGCUCACCAAGGCAACGAUGCGUAGCCGACCUGAGAGGGUGAUCGGCCACACUGGGACUGAGACAGGGCCCAGACUCCUACGGGAGGCAGCAGUAGGGAAUCUUCCGCAAUGGACGAAAGUCUGACGGAGCAACGCCGCGUGAGUGAUGAAGGCUUUCGGGUCGUAAAACUCUGUUGUUAGGGAAGAACAAGUGCUAGUUGAAUAAGCUGGCACCUUGACGGUACCUAACCAGAAAGCCACGGCUAACUACGUGCCAGCCGCCGCGGUAA